rnacentral:sRNA from 1 species
ACUGAAAUGGAAGCUUCGGCACAGAUUUUACCCGCAGGUUAGUUUAAGCUUCUAUCAACCCUUGUGCUUAAUCGAGCGUUUGAUGGGUACAAUUGACCUUCCCUCCGCUCUCUGCGCAUCUGUCAACAUUCACAAGCUCCUGUUUGAUAAAGCGUGAUAAUCCUUCCCUAUAGCCACCUCAAUCACUACUACCAUGGGCCACAUUCCAAAGUUUCUGUGUGCUUACUCGUCUCUGCCUGAAACGGUAAUUUUUACCAUGCCUCCUGAUUCUUCGGUCAUUUACGGAGUAUCGAUGGACGAACAAUCAAACUGCCCGGCUCUUUCAGCCCAUCUCAUCUAAACCAUCAAACAAUACUAAGGCCCACAGAUUAAAGAUUUCCAGCAAGUUUCAAGAACAACCCCCCCCCGGAUAUCCUUGCCAAUCAUCUUCUCCUCGUUUCUUGUGUGCAAGGUCAUCCCACCAGCCAAGAUUUGAUCGCUGUGGCUUCACCACCGAUUUCCCUAUAUAGGCUGACGAGAAGAUCAGGUUCGGGAGCACUUUUGGUUGGGAGAGCAUAGUCUGACUGGAGGGACUAAAGUUGUUAAUGGUGCAUAACUGUAGAUCUUUUGCUGAUUGAAGGGUACCACAAAUUCUCACAUUCUGUCGAUAUUUUUUUAUUGUGUACAGAGUCAAGGUUUAUGCGAUGGUCCAUUUGGCUGCUGUUUGAGUUGACUUUCCAGGGAUAUCAUGUAUCUCCAAGACAUACCUUGUGGGUCUCCAGGCUCAGCUCUCCAAGGCAGCUUUUUUCAAAACUACUAGUAUUUUAGAUUGGGUGCAUUUUCACAUAUUCAAUAUGACGACAACCAUGGAUAAGCGCUCAUAAACAUCUUGUCAUUGUAAACUCUUAUCAUUUGUGGAUAUGCAUCAAAAGUAGUCUAACAAUUGCAAAAAGGGUAGAAUAUGAAGGCUCCAGGCCGGGUGCUAGUCAAAUCAAACAGUACAAAGCAGAGAGGGGGAA